rnacentral:rRNA from 1 species
AGCGGAGGAAAAGAAACCAACAGGGAUUGCCUUAGUAACGGCGAGUGAAGCGGCAACAGCUCAAAUUUGAAAGCUGGCUCCUUCGGAGUCCGCGUUGUAAUUUGUAGAGGAUGAUUCGGCGAGGGCUCCCGCCUAAGUCCCCUGGAACGGGGCGUCAUAGAGGGUGAGAAUCCCGUAUGCGGUGGGUUGCCUUAGCCAUGUGAAUCUCCUUCGACGAGUCGAGUUGUUUGGGAAUGCAGCUCUAAAUGGGAGGUAAAUUUCUUCUAAAGCUAAAUACCGGCCAGAGACCGAUAGCGCACAAGUAGAGUGAUCGAAAGAUGAAAAGCACUUUGGAAAGAGAGUUAAAAAGUACGUGAAAUUGUUGAAAGGGAAGCGCUUGCAGCCAGACUUGUCCGCAGUUGCUCAACCGGUCUCCUGACCGGUGUACUCUUCUGCGGCCAGGCCAGCAUCAGUUCGGGCGGUCGGAUAAAGGCCCUGGGAAUGUAGCUCCUCUCGGGGAGUGUUAUAGCCCAGGGUGGAAUGCGGCCAGCCUGGACUGAGGAUCUCGCUUCGGCUAGGAUGCUGGCGUAAUGGCUGUAAGCGGCCCGUCUU